rnacentral:rRNA from 1 species
UACGAAGGGGGCUAGCGUUGCUCGGAAUCACUGGGCGUAAAGGGUGCGUAGGCGGGUCUUUUAAGUCAGGGGUGAAAUCCUGGAGCUCAACUCCAGAACUGCCUUUGAUACUGAAGAUCUUGAGUUCGGGAGAGGUGAGUGGAACUGCGAGUGUAGAGGUGAAAAUUCGUAGAUAUUCGCAAGAACACCAGUGGCGAAGGCGCUCACUGGCCCGAUACUGACGCUGAGGCACGAAAGC